AUGUUACGGACUGCGGACGAGGCACCUGGGGCCUGGUGGGCUAAGUGAUGUGUCUAAAUCAGUUCUCCUCCCUGAGCUCUGAUCUCUGAAUUCGGUGGAAGCCAGUUAGAGAUAAGCUAA